rnacentral:lncRNA from 1 species
ACACUUUGAUCAAAAAGGCGGGGGUACAACUCUCUCAUCGAUUCUUCUAUCUCCCAAGUCGCUCCUUCAGUAUCGUGGUGUUGCCAGAUCACUUUGACCAAUGGAAUGGUCUUUGUACGCAGAACUUGCUCUUUACAAUCGACAAUCUGAAUAAGGCUUUUCACGUAUGACACACGGUCAUCCACGUCCAAUUCCUCGAAAUUGAG